GCCGGAUUUUACACAAGUGUUGCAUGGCUGUCGUCAGCUCGUGUCGUGAGAUGUUGGGUUAAGUCCCGCAACGAGCGCAACCCUCAUCCUUAGUUGCCAUCAGGUAAUGCUGAGUACUUUAAGGAAACUGCCAGUGAUAAGCUGGAGGAAGGUGGGGAUGAUGUCAAGUCAUCAUGGCCUUUAUGGAGUGGGCUACACACGUGCUACAAUGGUGUCUACAAUGGGCUGCAAGGUGCGCAAGCCUAAGCUAAUCCCUAAAAGACAUCUCAGUUCGGAUUGUACUCUGCAACUCGAGUACAUGAAGUUGGAAUCGCUAGUAAUCGUGGAUCAGCAUGCCACGGUGAAUACGUUCUCGGGUCUUGUACACACUGCC
rnacentral:rRNA from 2 species